rnacentral:snoRNA from 1 species
ACUUCUGAUGAUCUCAUGUAUUCGCUGUGUUCUUACGGAAUCUUUCAUGUCGAACAUACAUCACCUUGGAGAACUGAUAU